CUCCAUCUCUCUACCCUCUCCCUCUCUCUCGGAUAGCUAGCUCUUCUUCCUCCUUCCUCCGUUUGGAUCAGACGAGAGGGUAUGUAGUGGUGCACCACGAGUUGGUGAAGCUGCCAGCAUGAUCUGGUUAUGAUGGUGGUGGUAUAUGUAAGAUGGAUGUAAUCUAUACUACUACCGGCCCCUGUCACUCUCUCUCUCUCCCCCGUCCCUGACUGUCAUAUAUGGAUCGACGAAUCCAAGAUGAGAGGGGAAGGGAGAGAGAGAGAGGGUAAUUAAUGAGCACCAGGACCAGGUCAUGCUGUAGUUUCAUCUGCUGGUGGCCGCACAUCGAAAACCCUAGCUAGCUCACCCUCCUGCAAUUCAUAUCCAUGCUGCACUCGCCAGAGACCACCAGUCAAGCUAGCUUAUUUCCGCCGUUGACGACGUUGAUUAAUUAUCCGUGAUAAUAAUGGCCUUGUCGAUCUAGUUUCCUCUCUCUUUUUUUAUUAUUAUGCCUUUGCUUCUCUCUUGGUUCGGUUGUGUAUAUUGCUGUCUCUGUCUUCGUCAUCACUGUGUGCCUACAAUCCUGCUCACGAUAAUGCAGAUGGGAAGUUGUGCAUUGCCGGAAGUCUUCUUUUCGAAGGUAAAAAAAAAACUAACUCGACAACUGUUUUGUAGCUUGAAUUAAUAAGUGUUGCAGGUAGAAUACCCAAGAUUACCUUCGGCUCACCUUCGGCGGGGAUGGUUGCAAUGCAACAACGAAUACAAAAGCGCAAGCUUCGGAGUAACAGCAUGUGCACAUGAGGGGUGAACAAGCCAAAACCAUGAGAGGUCAACAAGACAGCUAUAGAAAUUGACUGCAGUAUCCUAAUAUAUUUGCUAGCUCAAUUGUAUGUGCGUUCGAGUGUACGAUUGUAAUUUUGACGAAGAAGCUGUAACUCACGAUUAUAAAUAGCUAAAUAGUACCAUGCGUUCGUUGGACACACGUUCUUGAGAUGGAGAGAAAUAAAUCGCUAUAUAUGCCUACGAAGCUGUAUUAUUAUAUCUCUACCUUCAUCCUGUAACUUCACGAAGUCGAAGGUAUAUAUAUAAUCUUUUGUUAAAUAAUAAGAAGGAAGGAGGAAACAACAUCUU